GUAGGGAAUCUUCCGCAAUGGACGAAAGUCUGACGGAGCAACGCCGCGUGAGUGAAGAAGGUUUUCGGAUCGUAAAGCUCUGUUGCCAGGGAAGAACGUCUUCUAGAGUAACUGCUAGGAGAGUGACGGUACCUGAGAAGAAAGCCCCGGCUAACUACGUGCCAGCAGCCGCGGUAAUACGUAGGGGGCAAGCGUUGUCCGGAAUUAUUGGGCGUAAAGCGCGCGCAGGCGGUCACUUAAGUCUGGUGUUUAAGGCUAGGGCUCAACCCUGGUUCGCACUGGAAACUGGGUGACUUGAGUGCAGAAGAGGAGAGUGGAAUUCCACGUGUAGCGGUGAAAUGCGUAGAGAUGUGGAGGAACACCAGUGGCGAAGGCGACUCUCUGGGCUGUAACUGACGCUGAGGCGCGAAAGCGUGGGGAGCAAACAGG
rnacentral:rRNA from 1 species